ensembl:snoRNA small nucleolar RNA SNORD50
CAACAGUGAUGAGCACUUUAUCCCGAAGCUGAUCCUGUUUUGAUGAACCUAUUUAUUUUACGGAUCUGAUUGCUGAGUU